GCAUCGAUAGUUUAGGGGUAGAAUUCGAGCUUCCCAUGUUUCCACGUAGCCUGCUCGAGGUCCGAGUUCGAGUCUCGGUCGAUGCA